rnacentral:rRNA from 1 species
UACGUAGGGUGCAAGCGUUGUCCGGAAUUAUUGGGCGUAAAGAGCUCGUAGGCGGUUUGUCGCGUCUGCUGUGAAAUCCCGAGGCUCAACCUCGGGUCUGCAGUGGGUACGGGCAGACUGGAGUGUGGUAGGGGAGACUGGAAUUCCUGGUGUAGCGGUGAAAUGCGCAGAUAUCAGGAGGAACACCGAUGGCGAAGGCAGGUCGCUGGGACGGUACUGACGCUGAGGCGCGAAAGCGUGGGAGCAAACAGG